GACGAACGCUGGCGGCGUGCCUAAUACAUGCAAGUUGAGCGCUGAAGGUUGGUACUUGUACCAACUGGAUGAGCAGCGAACGGGUGAGUAACGCGUGGGGAAUCUGCCUUUGAGCGGGGGACAACAUUUGGAAACGAAUGCUAAUACCGCAUAAAAACUUUAAACACAAGUUUUAAGUUUGAAAGAUGCAAUUGCAUCACUCAAAGAUGAUCCCGCGUUGUAUUAGCUAGUUGGUGAGGUAAAGGCUUACCAAGGCGAUGAUACAUAGCCGACCUGAGAGGGUGAUCGGCCACAUUGGGACUGAGACACGGCCCAAACUCCUACGGGAGGCAGCAGGAGGGAAUCUUCGGCAAUGGACGAAAGUCUGACCGAGCAACGCCGCGUGAGUGAAGAAGGUUUUCGGAUCGUAAAACUCUGUUGGUAGAGAAGAACGUUGGUGAGAGUGGAAAGCUCAUCAAGUGACGGUAACUACCCAGAAAGGGACGGCUAACUACGUG
rnacentral:rRNA from 1 species